UUGAAGAAGGGUUGCGCAGCCUUGCUUCUUCUGGAAAAAAAACACACCUAUACACACAUACACGAUACAAUAGAGAAAUAUACACACAAUAGAUACAGAAGACGCCUGGAAAAUUUUGGGCCCAGCUUCUCAGUAGGAGACCCUUUUCCAUUUUCUUCUUCAACUCCUCCUCUCACUGCUCAAUGGCAAACUCACCGGAAAAUACACAGAGCUCCAUCGCCACUGCACCUACUUCGUCGAUUAAAGCCACAACAGCCAUGAAACUUGCUUGAAUCCUCUGUGAUAGUUCGUCAAAUCAUCAGAUCCAAAUCCAACCUGUUCUGAUACCACCUCUGUGUCGUCCUGUUCAAGGUGGCGAGUCGAGUUCUCAGCUGUUGCUCUAGGUUCCAUUGUGUUCUAUCCGGUUAGUUUUUUCGUUGCCGCUGAAUGUCUAAUUCAUCGCUGGAAUUUGCACAUCUAGAUUUAUUUGUACCUAUUUCCAGCCAUUUCAACAUAAAUUGAAAGUUCAUUUUCAUGUUCUUUCUUGAUUUCUUUCC
rnacentral:lncRNA from 1 species